rnacentral:rRNA from 1 species
UACGUAGGGGGCAAGCGUUAUCCGGAUUUACUGGGUGUAAAGGGAGCGUAGACGGCGGUGCAAGCCAGAUGUGAAAGCCCGGGGCUCAACCCCGGGACUGCAUUUGGAACUAUCAAGCUAGAGUACAGGAGAGGAAAGCGGAAUUCCUAGUGUAGCGGUGAAAUGCGUAGAUAUUAGGAAGAACACCAGUGGCGAAGGCGGCUUUCUGGACUGAAACUGACGCUGAGGCACGAAAGCGUGGGGAGCGAACAGG